UACGUAGGGGGCAAGCGUUGUCCGGAAUCAUUGGGCGUAAAGAGCGUGUAGGCGGUCCGGUAAGUCCGUUGUGAAAGUCAGGGGCUCAACCCUUGAAUGCCGGCGGAUACUGUCGGGCUAGAGUCCGGAAGAGGCGAGUGGAAUUCCCGGUGUAGCGGUGGAAUGCGCAGAUAUCAGGAGGAACACCGGUGGCGAAGGCGGGAUCCUGGGCCAGUACUGACGCUGAGGAGCGAAAAGCGUGGGGAGCAAACAGG
rnacentral:rRNA from 1 species